AUACGGAGGGGGCUAGCGUUGUUCAGAAUUACUGGGCGUAAAGGGCGCGUAGGCGGCGCGAACAGUCAGGCGUGAAAGCCCCGGGCUUAACCUGGGAACUGCGUUUGAUACUGAUUGACUAGAGGCCGGGAGAGGGUAGUGGAAUUCCCAGUGUAGAGGUGAAAUUCGUAGAUAUUGGGAAGAACACCGGUGGCGAAGGCGGCUACCUGGACCGGACCUGACGCUGAGGUGCGAAAGCGCGGGGAGCAAACAGGAUUAGAUACCCCGGUAGUCC
rnacentral:rRNA from 1 species